GACGAACGCUGGCGGCGUGCUUAACACAUGCAAGUCGAACGGAAAGGCCUCUUUCGGGGGGUACUCGAGUGGCGAACGGGUGAGUAACACGUGAGUAACCUGCCCUUGACUUUGGGAUAACUUCAGGAAACUGGGGCUAAUACCGGAUAGGAGCUCCUGCUGCAUGGUGGGGGUUGGAAAGUUUCGGCGGUUGGGGAUGGACUCGCGGCUUAUCAGCUUGUUGGUGGGGUAGUGGCUUACCAAGGCUUUGACGGGUAGCCGGCCUGAGAGGGUGACCGGCCACAUUGGGACUGAGAUACGGCCCAGACGCCUACGGGAGGCAGCAGUGGGGAAUAUUGCACAAUGGGUGGAAGCCUGAUGCAGCAACGCCGGGCGCGGGAUGACGGCCUUCGGGUUGUAAACCGCUUUCGCUCAGGACGAAGCUUUGUGUGACGGUAGUGGGUAAAGAAGCACCGGCUAACUACGUG
rnacentral:rRNA from 1 species